rnacentral:rRNA from 1 species
GAUGAACGCUGGCGGCGUGCCUAAUACAUGCAAGUCGAGCGAACGGACGAGAAGCUUGCUUCUCUGAUGUUAGCGGCGGACGGGUGAGUAACACGUGGAUAACCUACCUAUAAGACUGGGAUAACUUCGGGAAACCGGAGCUAAUACCGGAUAAUAUUUUGAACCGCAUGGUUCAAAAGUGAAAGACGGUCUUGCUGUCACUUAUAGAUGGAUCCGCGCUGCAUUAGCUAGUUGGUCAGGUAACGGCUUACCAAGGCAACGAUGCAUAGCCGACCUGAGAGGGUGGUCGGCCACACUGGAACUGAGACACGGUCCAGACUCCUACGGGAGGCAGCAGUAGGGAAUCUUCCGCAAUGGGCGAAAGCCUGACGGAGCAACGCCGCGUGAGUGAUGAAGGUCUUCGGAUCGUAAAACUCUGUUAUUAGGGAAGAACAUAUGUGUAAGUAACUGUGCACAUCUUGACGGUACCUAAUCAGAAAGCCACGGCUAACUACGUG